GUAUUAUUUCAUCACAGAUGUCAGGAUUAAAGAAAACCGGAGCUGUUAGUAGAGAAACUAUAAUAACACUAUUCUGUAUCAUUAAAUGGAAUAUUGAAAAUUUUGAUGGAAUACCAGAAAAAAAGAGAAGAGUAAUCAGAGCUAUUACUUUCAGCAAACUACAAGUACAGUUUUCAAAGGCAAGAGAGAAAAUGUGUUGCCAAGGAGACCCAUUGUGUGCAGAGGAAGGAGGAGUAAUGAUACCUGUGACCAUGCAGCUAUAAUUUCCCCUGCCUCCAUCUCUUGACCUGCAAGAGCUCACAAAAGAUUGAGAUUACAGUAUAUUUGCUGAAGGAAAAUGCACUGUCUUUUAGCCAAGAGAUCUGGAAACAGAAGAAGUAGAAAUUUGGAAUGAAGAGAAGAGACAAGAAGAACUAGCCAAAAAAAUGUCAAAUGAAAAUUUUGUAAGCACCAUUAGUUUUUUUAAAAGCAAUUUGCAUACUUGAACCGUAAACUUGUGCUAAAGGCAACUCCAUAAGCAGUUAUAAAAAUUACAGAACUAAAAACUACCAUUUGAUCCAGAAAUUCUAGUACUCAAUAUCUACCCAGAGGAAAAUAAGUCAUUAC
rnacentral:lncRNA from 1 species